AUUAAAAUCUCUCAUUUUCAUGCUGAAUCGUCACAUCUGUUUGGCAGAUAACAGUUUCCAAAACGUUCUUUCUUCAAUCCUGUUACCAUUUUCAAUUCUCUUUCUUUUUGAAAUUUUCUUCAAUCCGGGUUUCUUGACCAUUCCUCUUCCAUGGCUCCUUCGUUGUAGAUCGACUCAUCUCUAACCAGGUACCUCUCUUCCCCAUUUGCUAAUGCUUCCUUCGCUAUUUUGUGGGCUUGGAAGUUCUUUGAUUUUUGAAUAAACUGAAAAUCUAUUUCUUGAAAUAGCGAACUAUGACUCUUGAUAUCUUUCAUAAUUGCUCCAAUGAUCGAUUUAUCCAUCUCUGCCGAUUGACAUUUUUUAAUGAUUGUCUUCGAAUCUCCCCUUAUUGUGACUGAUCGGAGGCCCAGUGAAAUACCCAGCUUGAUUGCCUGUAGACAAGUGAAUGCCUCUGCAAGAAAUAGAGAUGAGACAUUGGAAUGAAGGGUUGUUUUUAAGACUCUUAUCUCUCCUAUCCGAUUUCGUACAAUGACCCCCGACUCCGAUCUAGACCUGUUUGCAUCAAAAGCUGCAUCAAAUUGUGUUGUGUCCUCCGUAUGUCUCUAUAUUCUGGCAGUCUUCAAGGUACGUCUUUCUUUACCCACUUCUUCAAGUUCUGCUAUAUAGCUUUCUAUUUUCUGUGCAAGGUCCCUUUCUGAUGCGUGUUUUUUUUCAUGUGCCAUUUGAUUUCGUGAGCUCCAUAUGAUCCAUAAAGCGCAGCAAAACAUCUGACACUGUUCCUUAGUUCCUUUUGCAAAUACCCAUGUAAGCCAUGUUCUGGUAUUUUGAUCUGAAUAUGAUGUAACCCAAUCCAUGUUAAUAUUAUGCUAAACUUCAGUACUUGUAAGGCAUUGCUGGAAUACAUAAAAGUUGUCCUCUUCCCCGAAGCCACAUCGAGGGCAUCUCACAUUUGUGGUUAUUCGCUUGUAUCGUAGGUUGGCUAGUGUAGGAAUAUAGUUCCAGGAUAUUCGCCAGACAAACAGUAGAGUUUUUUAUGGAAGUUGUAAAUCCCAUAACUUUCUGUAGAAUUCUUUAAAAUCGGUCUGUAAUAAGUUAUUAGAAAUUGAAUCAACUUCUUGUAAUAGUUUAUAGGUGCUCCGUACAGAGAACUCUCCGGUCGGUUCACCUUUCCAAACGCGCAAGUCUUCACUGUCCGUUUCUGCAAGUGGUAUCUCCAAAAUUUUUUUAGCUAUAUCCGAUUGAAAGGUUCAAUCCCUGGAAUCCACCGAUCUGUCCAAAUGAAAACAUUGUUUCCUCUCCCAACUCUUCAACUUAGCCCCUGAAAGAGGAGUCUCUUUACUGCCCAGAUACUCUUCCAGGUAAGAGAAGGUAAAUUCCCCAACUCUGCACUUAAAAAAACAGACUGUGGAUAAUACUUUGCUUUAAAGACUCUGGCUAAAAGUGAAUUUGGAUAAUUAAAAAGACGCCACCCCUGUUUGGCUAAUAACGCAAUAUUAAACUGACUGAGAUUACGAAAACCCAAACCUCCAUUUUCUUUUAAACUGCAAAGAUUAUUCCAAGAGCACCAAUGAAUUCCCCUUUACCUUGACCCUUUUUCCACCAAAAAUUCGCGAUAAUUCCUUCUAUUUCUCCGCAUAAAAUUUUUGGGAGUAAGAAGCAAGCCAUUGAAUAUGUCGGGAUGGCCUGUAAUACAGCUUUGAUGAAAACUUCUUUCCUGCCCUGCGAUAAAAAUCUAAUGCUCCAGGUAUCAAUACGCCGUCUUAGUCUAUGUUUCAAAGCUUGAAAAGAAGCCUUCUUUUUUCGUCCUACCAUGGUCGGCAAACCUAGAUAACGUUCUGGUUCAUUUGAGCUUCGGAUUCCCAGCAAGUUUACCACCUGACUUCUUUCUUCUGCCGUCGUAUUUUUGCUGAGAAAAAUAGUUGAUUUGUCCAUACUCACACACUGUCCCGAACCUCUUUUAUACUCACUUAAGAUUUCCUUGAUUGUAUUAGCCCCUCUACAUGUUGCCUCCCCAAAAAGAAUGCAAUCAUCUACAAAUAAUAAAUGUGAUACAUGUGGUCCUCUUCUGCUUACUUUGACACCCUUCAAAAAACCUUCAUUUGUUGCUUUUCUCAUAAGACUGGAAAGGCCUUCCCCACAUAUUAAGAAAAGAAAUGGACUCAAAGGAUCACCUUGUCGAAGUCCCUUGAUGAACUGAAUGUCACCCCGAUAUUUCCAUUUACCACAACCUUGUAAGAAACGGUAGUCAUGCAUUUCAUAAUAGUAUCAAUCCAACUUUGAGCGAAACCCAUUUGACACAUUAUUUCUUUAAUAAAAUUCUAUUCAACUCUAUCAUAAGCCUUACUCAUGUCCAAUUUUACAGCUAUAUAGCCCUUUUUCCCCACUCUUUUCUAUUUUAGGGAAUGCAAUAUCUCGUAAGCAAGUAGAACAUUAUCUGAGAUUAAUCUUCCUGGCACAAAGGCACUUUGUGCACUAUCAAUGCAUUUAUCAAUCACUCCUCUAAAUUUGUUCGCUAUAUAGCUUUUGCCAUUAUUUUAUAAAUGACAUUGCAUAAACUAAUUGACCUAAAAUGUGUCACAUUAGCCAUAUUAUUAGUUUUUGGAACGAGCACAAUAUGAGUUGUAUUAAUUGAACUAACCUUCAUAUCUUCAUUCAAGAGUUGUAGACAGAAGGAAACUACAUCAUCUCCAAUAAAAUGCCAACACUUCUGAUAAAAUAAAGCUGGGAAUCCAUCUUCGCCUGGUGCCUUAGUGGAUGCCAUCUCGAACAAAGCCUCGCGAUUUCUUCUCAUGUAUAUUGCGCAGUCAGCUUUUUAUUUUCCUAUUCAUAGAUACAUCGACCAAUACCCAAGAGUAAAUAGUCGAGAUUCUCUUGAUUUUCUGAAGCAAAUAAAUUCUGGAAGUAGGAUCUUGCUAUUUCUUCUAUUUCUUGAGGAUCUCUUGUAUCCUUUCCAUGUGCAUUUUGUAACCUCCUGAUCUUGUUUUUUCUCUGCCUUUGGGUUGCUUGGCUAUGGAAAAAAGUUGUAUUUUUGUCACCUAAUUUUAACCAAUUCAAUCGAGCCCUUUGCUCCCAAUAUCUUUCCUCCUUCUCAAACUCCAUAUUUAGUUGAAUCUUCGUAUCGAUCAUCUCCGCCAUGUUAAUGUCAUCCCUUUCAGCAUCGAGUAGCUUAGAUAGCUUUGUUGUUAAAAAUUUCUUUUUCUAUUUUUCUUGUUUCGUAUUUUUCCAGCCCAAUUUUCCAGCCCCUUCAUUAGGAUUUUCGUCUUCUGCAAAAAAUUACCUGGUGUCAUCUUCCACUGCUGCUCAGCUUCAGCAACGAAUAAGUCCUCCAAAAACCACCAGUUUUCAAUUCCGAAUAUAUUCUCAUUUUGUCGUCUUGUUUUCUUUUUAGUAUCAAUUAAAAUGGGACAAUGAUCAGAAAAAGAAUGAACCAAAUGUUGAGCUUUAACGUCUGAAAAUAGUGAAAUUCAUUUCUUAUUUGCCACCCCCUAUCCAACCGUUCUCAUAUAUUCGUUUUUGAGAGAUUACCUCUUUCCCAUGUGAACCAUCUGCCCGAAUAACCCACAUCAUUCAAUUGACAAAACUCCAGCGCCUUCCGAAACAUUUCCAUUCAUGACUUCAUUGAAAUCUCUACAUACUAACUAUGGUAUAUUAUCUCCAUUAGAGAGUUUUUUCAGAACAGCCCAUGAAUCUUCUUUAUCUUGUGCGUACAGGGUACCAUAGAAACCUGUAAAACGCCACAUAACUUCCCUCUCAUCGUCAUGGACUAUCGCGUCAAUAUGCCUUUUAAAGAAAAUUUUUAAAGAAAUAUUAACAUCAUUCUUCCAUGCCAAACAUAUCCCUCUUCUAGUUCCCUCUGCGUCCACCUCAAUUCUAUUCACAAAACCACAUCUCCGUCGAACUCUUUCCAUCUGUUUUCCGCAAAGUUUAGUCUCCAUAAAGAAGACUAUGUGGGGAUCACAAGUCGUCAGCGAGUGCCGAAGUCUUCUAACUGUCCGUGGACUCCCCAAUCCACGGACAUUCCAACUUAUUAUUUUCAUAAUGCCCGGUCGGCUUGCCUCUUGGCACCGCCGAUGACAAAUGAUUAAGAUCCAUUAAUCUCCUAUUUCUUGCCGGAGAAUUUAACUCCUCAGUCUUUGAUAAGUCGUCGCUCUCCCUUCUAGAUCUUUUUUUACCUUCUUCUCCUACUAAGGCUACAUCCUCCAAGUCAUGAUCCAUCGCAUGUUGACCAUGGUCUGUCAGUGAGCUAACCUGCUUUGCAUCAUCACAUAAUAAACCACCUUCCAAAUUAAUACUGAGAACUGGAUCAACAGCCUUCCCAAAACUCUUCCUGUGGUCUAUUCAUAAAUCUCCUGUUUGCCUCCUGAAUCCCGUCUGAACCCCCCUCCUCUUCCUCUCGUUGCCAGACACUAUUCAUAGUCAGAGCUAUUUGGGAUUGUGCUUUUAUUGAUAAAUCCCUCCCCAUUUCAGCUAUUUCCACUCCAGUCAUCAUUUUUGCCUCACAAAACGAGUCAUUAUGGCCCAGUUUUCCACAAUAGAAGUAGAAAAUAGUCAAUAUUUCAUAUUUAAAACAAACAUAUGAUUGUCUUCCACAAAAUCCGAUUAACUUCUUUCUUUUCAAAGGACGUCUUAUAUCAACUUGGACCCUAACCCUCAUAAAGUUUCUAUUUUCUUUCCCUAAAUUUGACACAUCAUAUUCCAUAAAAUACCCCAAAAAAUUCCCUAGAUUCACUGCUAAAUUUUCAGAAAACAAACCAAUAGGCACUUCGUGUAUCUGAACCCAGAAAAGGGUUAGCACUAAAGAGACCUGCAACGAAUCCUCCCUCCAUCGCAGUCUAUAAAGUAUCAAUAGAUGAUUAUUGAAGGUCCAUGGGGAGCCUUUCAAAACCCUCUCCAUAUCCAUAAAAUGAAAAAAAUUGGAACAAAAACCUUUUUUCCCCCAGAUCCCGAAUGCAAACUCCUCGAAUAGGAUGCCAUAGAUUUGCCAUAGUACUUUUCAUAGCUGGAAAGUGAAUUAUACUCGCUGUAAGAAAACACCCCACUAAUUGAAAAAACUCCUCACUUCUUUUCGUACCUGGAUUUUCUUGAAUUUUAAUAACAUCUUCCUCUUCGUUGAUCGAUAAUUGGGCUAAUUCAUUCUCAAUAAUUUUCAAGGACACAACGCCGUAAGCCAAAAAGAAAGACAGAAGAACAAAAAACCUAAAAUCUUGCCAGAGGCGGCAGACACAAACGUGCUAGGGUAGCAUACUGUAAAAAUAUUUAUUUAAUUAUAUGAUAACGUGUUUAAAGAACAAUUAAAAAAUUAAAGUUUGUUGGCA